rnacentral:lncRNA from 1 species
CGGGGCCUUUUAUAGCAGAAUAUGCGGUAUGGGCUUUGCUUAUUGUUGAAGGCCAUGCAGUGACCUAUAGUUUAUUUCUGUGUCAAUUUGGUCUCUUGUGCUCUGUACUUUAAACGGCAAUUUCACAUGAGUGGUAUAUAAGGUCAACGUUUGAAACUUUUCGUGGAACAACGUCAAAAAUCGACGUUUUAUUAGGAACGUCGUGUAACGCUAAUUGGAACGAAUACCGUGCGUAACGUCUUUGCUAUUGACUUGUAAAUUUUAUAAUUAAAAAAUAAACAAAAGUUGUGCACA